UAAUGGUUUUCUGGUGGCUUACGCCGUGUUAUCGUGUUAGCUCGAGUAUCGAAGUUGCUUACAAUGUGAAAUAAUUUUACUUGGACUCAACAAGGGAUCUGUGACUGCAUCGCCUAAACUUUCAAUGCUGUCAAACUGAAUUAAAAACGCACUUCCGUUUCUGAAUUGUUCAGGAAGUUUUAUGGUGGGAUCGCCUCGUCAUAUUUUUUUGUACUGUGGUCAUCGCUGCUAUUACGCAAACCAAUUUUAAGCUUCUGAUUCGACAAACACGCCAAAUCACAGGAAUCAGAAUGAUAGAAUCCUCAACACCGGAAACAGCACUGUUCCCACCGCAAGCACAGGUGUCCAAGUGGAAUCAGGCCGUCCAACCUACGCUAACACGGCCAUCUACUCAUAAUACGAGUAAAUCUCCGGCGUGCGACCAUAAAGCGAGUUCCGUACAGAGUGAGCUAUUUUCUUUUGAAUACGACAUCACGACUGGACUAACACAUGAUGAAUUGCUUAUGCUGUCAAAUGAAACCAAGUGUCCAGAGGAAAAGCUGUUAUAUGACAAUGCUCAGAUGUCGGAUGCGCAUUCCUCUGUAGUGCUUUUAAGGCAUACUAUUUCCCCACUAGAAGACUGCACUAACUACCUCUACAUCCAACGAUCGUUAGAAAGCGAAGGAAAAUUUGAUAUUUUGGCUGGUCGAGCUAAACGAAUAAAGUACAAUGAUUACAGAAAGAAAAUACUUCCGUUCAUGGCGACAGCAGCUGGAGCAGGUGCCACCGCAGCUGCAGUUACCCUCGCUAUCGGCGCUUCGAAUGUCGCCACGCCGAUCGGAUUAUGCAUCGCAACCGCUGCUGUUGUGAUUAUGAAGCACGUCGGUAGUGUGCACCAUGAUACACUGACCAUGAAAGCGCAUAACUGUGGUAUAUGUCGAGCGCAAGCUGAAAAGGAGAUGACAGAUUAUAUCACACAAGAAAUGAAACGCCGGGGAAUCAUGCCGCCGCAUGGAGCUGUCCAUGUUUCUUUCUAGAAUGAAACUACAUAGUUACUGGAACUGCUUUAACUGGAAAUGGCUAUAAUGACAGAAGUGCAAGCACGUUUUGACUUCACAAUAAGUACCUGGACUAGGGAGAGCGACGCCAACGGCCGAAGGGUAUUGGGGAGUGCUGAAAGAUGUAAUUCUCGAACGCCAAAUUAAUACAGGAUGCACCGCAAUUUUGAGCUGGUACUGAUAUUGCUGACUCCAACAUACCACGUGGAGAAACGCAGAGCUGUCAAGGUGGAAUAAAAGUCAAUCUUUUUACCUUAGUGG